AAAUUUAGUUAUAUACCCAAUCUUAGACAUGGUUUUAUAAAGAAACCCUACACCGUUUAAAAACUAUAAACACACCCAAAAAAAAUCCAAAAAUUGACAGCUAUCAAUUUUUUUUAAUUUAAUAGUUGUUUUUUAGUUUAUUUGUGUGUGUUAAAUACCUAUAUUGUCCUUGUACUAUGGAUUUAAGAGAGGAAAAUCAGAUCUGCCCAGAUCUGCCAUAAAACCAAAUAUUUCCAUGUCUGCCAAAAAACCAAAUCUGCCAAAAAAACCAAAUCUGCCAAAAAAUCAAAUCAUAUUUAUUUUCUCCUUUCUCGCUGGUGUUUUCUCUGGUGUUGGAGCAAGAGGAGCUUCCAUUGAAGCUCAGUCUCAGACCUUGAAAAAACCUCGAUCAGAUGCUUUUAGCUCUACUCCUCAUCUUCGAGCUCUACUCCUCUUUCGCCACAUCAUUGUCGUUGUUAUCGUCGUCGCCGUCGUCGUCGUCGUUUGGUUUGUACUUGAGAUUUUUGAUCUUUUGCUUCAAUUAUGUGUUUCUCUUCGGAUUUUAGUUGAUUUUCGAAAUGUAUUUGAAGCUUUGAUGAUCGAUUCAACUUUUGUUACUAUUUCA